rnacentral:rRNA from 1 species
UACAGAGGUCCCAAGCGUUGUUCGGAUUUACUGGGCGUAAAGGGUGCGUAGGUGGCAGGGUAAGUUCGGUGUGAAAGCUUCGAGCUCAACUCGGAAACGGCAUUGAAAACUAUCCUGCUUGAGGGUCGGAGGGGAGACUGGAAUUCUCGGUGUAGCAGUGAAAUGCGUAGAUAUCGAGAGGAACACCAGUGGCGAAGGCGGGUCUCUGGACGAUUCCUGACACUGAGGCACGAAAGCUAGGGGAGCAAACAGG